GGAUUUGGCCAGACUUCAUGAAAUAAACUGAGGAAAUGGGAUGGUGAAUUUGGGAAGUGAAGUUGACAAGAAGCUGACAGGAAGUUAACACUGUGCUGAUAAAGGAAAGGAAGGUUUGAAUGUCUUCCAGAAGC